ACUAUGCUAGCUUUCAUCUCCAUGAAUAAUAAUUCUAAAUUUAGUCUUGAGUGUGUGAAGGCUUGUGGAGUUAAUAAAUUGCCUGUCAAAUCUCCUGUGAGAAUGGGAGGCAGACAGGAGGGAGCGAGGACUGAACUGGGAAUGGCCGUGCUGGGCCCUGAUGGAGCCCACGCCUCCGUGUCAGGGCACUGAAACCUGGGCCUCGCUUUCUCUGCUGGAACACUGACAAAUAAAUGCUGCUGUGACAGUUCUGGGCAGAAAAAUGCACCUUGGAUGUUGUCUUCAUUAGGUUCAAGCUGUUCAUGGCUCACCUGUCUGUGGUCUUACACAAACCCUUUGGCCUGUCUGAGUGGAUCCAUCCAUCCCAGAUAAUGCCAUGAAUCAGAGAGGGCCUCACCAAAAGCUGCAUCAGCCCUGCCUUUCUCCUUUGAGCUCUGCUUAAUGGUACAUCAAGUUUGUGUCAUCAUUGUGACAAUUUGCUUCCCGCAGUGUGAAUUCUGUGUCCUGGAAGGCCUGACUGCUGGCUGCGCUCUGAAAACAAGAGCCAUCUGCAGGUUGUCCAGCCUCCUCUUUCACCGUGAGAUCAGGGGUUUGUACACCUUUCCUGCUCUCCCCCAGGCUGAGGGAAUCACCCCUCGGCUUCUCCAAGGCUGAUCCAUAAACCCGGUGCCAUAAGGUCUUAGCACAACAAUGCCAAACACACAAAACUCCAGGAGAUUUUCUCUGUGAACAGAAGGAAGCUGCACACAAGGCCCUGUUAGAACUGGGGUUUGUGCAUCGCUUUAGGGACUAAAAUCUAAAUAAAGGAUAAAGGAACUUCAAAGUUUUUGUGCACUGAGAACCCGUGUGUGAAGACAAGGCUGGUCCCAGAGGUGUUCGGGUGCAUCCGUUUGUCUGCGAUGGAUCCCCACGGGGAGCAGAGGCCAGGGUGAUCCUGUGGGCUCCCUGCAGGGAUGGGGGAGGAUUUGGCAAGCUGAGGGUACUGAUGGGCUCCUGGAAUGUCUCACCAGCAAAAGCAGCAGUGGUGGUUGUUGUGGUGCUGAACUGGAGAGCUGGAAUGGAUGGCAGCUAUGCUGGAGCAAUAGGAACAGGAGGAGAAGAGCAGAGGCAAUGAGGAGGUGAAGGUGGCUGCCUCUGUUUUUUUGUUACAUCUGGGGAUUAAAAAUAAAACAUACCUCAAUUAUUAGAGCCACUGCAUAACAGCCCUUCAGCUCAACCCUGCCACAACACUGCAGUGUGCCUUUAAGGGACUAAUUUAGAAAGUUUGGGGAUUUAAGAAUCGUUUAGAAAUCCUCAGGGUUUCCUGAGGCAGCAGAAGUCUCCCAGGGCCCCAUCACUCAUGUCCUCCCCCUAAUUGGCCCCUCUGUCAGCUUAGCUUCCUCUGUUUUCCAAAUCCCCUCCAGAAUCUCAGGAUCACUGGCAAGGUAGGAGCAUCACAGAAGGUGUGCUUGUCCCCUUAAUUUAUGAAAAAUAAAAUUGUCACUUCUCUGCAACAUGAUAAGGGAGCUAAGAUGCAAGAGGUUAGAAAGGAAUUGAGGGCAUCCCCUGCCUUUUCCAGUCUGCUGCACUGAAGAGCUGGAAUCCAUUACCCAGCACACCUACAAUAUCUCACAUUCCCACACAGAUUAAUUUUAGGUUGGUCGGCUCAUUGCCUUUACACCUUGUGUGCAAGUGUAAAACUUGAUCUACAGUGUUUGAAUUUAAACAGUCUGUACUGCCAGUUUUUGCAACAGUGCUGAUAGGCACAGAGGAUUGUCAACAAACAGGCACAUUACUUUUAUUUCCAAUCCAAACACAGCAUCCUUCCUGAUUCCCUCCUCUUAACCCUUCAAUGUGAUGGUUUCUUUUUUUUUCUUCUUUUUUUUUUAAUUUUUUUUUAAUGGCAUGCUGCCAAUAUUAUGUGGAGAUUUGAUUUCUAUUUCAGACUCGAAAAGGGAAUUCCUGAGAUGCUGGAGAGGAGGAUGACUUAAAAACCCACAGGUGUAAGAUGAGACCAAGCCAUGACAAAUAGACAAUUCCUCCAAGUGGUUUCACCUUGGAUAACACUGGCACCCUCUCCAAAAAAUGAGGAUGGCUGUUCUUGGUGUGGACAGGGAUGCACAGAGGAGCAUCCUCCUUUUCUGGGGUAACACCACUGAGAUUUAUGCUGUUUAUGCUCCAGGUUAACAGCUGAUUUCUGUAGGGAAGCCAUGAAUUAAACAUCAUGCAAACAAUUAAACUCUGGGAAAUAGGAUUUCUGAUGGAGUGGUCAACAAUUAAAAAUGAAUGUGUUACUCUGCUCCAGGGAAAAGCAGUGAGAUGCCAUGCUUUCAUGCUAUGGGGAACAAACAUACUGUGUGACUCCAGAUGGAAAGUUCUGCAAAACACAAAGCAAAUAUGCCAUGAGUGGCAGAGACUUAAUCUGAGGCACUGCUACACAAAAGGCACAGGCAGCAGUUGUCAUUUCUGGAGCAGGGACACCACUGGGAGACACUCACUCCUCCCAGCAGCAACCUUCUAAAUUCCCCACCUGCACUUGCAAAUCCAGCUCUUAACAGCAUGGGCACCUUUACGAGCAAAUCCUGACUCAGGUCCACCAACUGUGAUGGGUUUGUCUGGAAAUUGCUGCUGGCAGCCCAACCAAAACACAGCCUCCCUUCAUGGACAAAGUCAACAGCUGGAAGACUGCUGCAAGGAGCAGCUUGUUCAGCUAAACACUCCAAAGAGUUAAUGUGUUUUCUUACAGCUCUCCCUGA